GCAACUCGCCUGCAUGAAGUUGGAAUUGCUAGUAAUCGCGAAUCAGAAUGUCGCGGUGAAUACGUUCCCGGGCCUUGUACACACCGCCCGUCACACCAUGAGAGUCGAUAACACCCGAAGCCUGUGAGCUAACCGUAAGGAGGCAGCAGUCGAAGGUGGGGGUUGAUGAUUGGGGUGAAGUCGUAACAAGGUAAC
rnacentral:rRNA from 1 species